rnacentral:rRNA from 1 species
AUUGAACGCUGGCGGCAGGCUUAACACAUGCAAGUCGAGCGGGGGAAGGUAGCUUGCUACCGGACCUAGCGGCGGACGGGUGAGUAAUGCUUAGGAAUCCGCCUAUUAGUGGGGGACAACAUCUCGAAAGGGAUGCUAAUACCGCAUACGUCCUACGGGAGAAAGCAGGGGAUCUUCGGACCUUGCGCUAAUAGAUGAGCCUAAGUCGGAUUAGCUAGUUGGUGGGGUAAAGGCCUACAAAGGCGACGAUCUGUAGCGGGUCUGAGAGGAUGGUCCGCCACACUGGGACUGAGACACGGCCCAGACUCCUACGGGAGGCAGCAGUGGGGAAUAUUGGACAAUGGGGGGAACCCUGAUCCAGCCAUGCCGCGUGUGUGAAGAAGGCCUUGUGGUUGUAAAGCACUUUAAGCGAGGAGGAGGCUCUUUUGGUUAAUACCCAGAAUGAGUGGACGUUACUCGCAGAAUAAGCACCGGCUAACUCUGUGCCAGCCGCCGCAGUAA